rnacentral:rRNA from 1 species
UGGGGAAUAUUGCACAAUGGGGGAAACCCUGAUGCAGCAACGCCGCGUGAGUGAUGAAGGCCUUCGGGUUGUAAAGCUCUGUCUUUGGGGACGAUAAUGACGGUACCCAAGGAGGAAGCCACGGCUAACUACGUGCCAGCAGCCGCGGUAAUACGUAGGUGGCAAGCGUUGUCCGGAUUUACUGGGCGUAAAGGGAGCGUAGGUGGAUAUUUAAGUGGGAUGUGAAAUCCCCGGGCUUAACCUGGGGGCUGCAUUCCAAACUGGAUGUCUAGAGUGCAGGAGAGGAGAGUGGAAUUCCUAGUGUAGCGGUGAAAUGCGUAGAGAUUAGGAAGAACACCAGUGGCGAAGGCGACUCUCUGGACUGUAACUGACACUGAGGCUCGAAAGCGUGGGGAGCAAACA